AAAUAAUGUUGUUCAUCGUUUAUAUUGUUUAUAACAUCGUCAGUUUUUAUAUGCAUUUAAUAUUUUUAAAAAUAGUUCAAAAGCUGUCAAAAUAAAAUGGUGAAUUGAGUUUAAACCAGAAAAGAUAUAAACGUAAUCUUUGGGAUUCAACUUGUAAGGAUGUUCCAAGAACCACUUAGUUGGAGAAGGAAAACUGUGCCGUUCAUUAACAAGUCCUGUGCUUUAUAAUAUAUUAAAAAAUGGAAGGACGUGAAGAAAACAGGUUUGUAAAUGAUGUUGUACAUCAUGCAGAUAGCUCAGAAGAAGAAGUAAGUUUUUUUUUUAAUUACAAAAGUAAAUAUAUAAUAUAAUAUUUGUUGCUGCCUUGUUCUAUAUAAAUGCUUCUAACAUGCAGGUAACAUUUAUAUAUGUAUUAGUUUGAAUAAAUCAUUUUAAUAAAGUUACAUUAUAGGCAGGAAUGUUUGACUGGAAAUAUAAACGAUGUUGUACAUAAUGCAGAUAGCUUAGGCAAAAAAGAGAUUGGUGAAAUGGAGAAUGAGACUAACUAGGGUGAAAAAAAAUGAAUAUUAAUAUGUGAAUGGUACUUUGUUUAACAUCUACCUGUUUCUACAGAUACAGUACAGACGCAUUUAUAAAUGGGCUUGAUGUUUUUUUGAAUUAAAUAUGUUGUAUUGA
rnacentral:lncRNA from 1 species